UGUACUGUUAGGACAGGUAUAUGUCUUUUCAUUUGAUUACAGGUAUGAGCAGUCCUUCAGCUCCAUCUACUGGACACUUGUAGAUAUUUCCUGGUGUUAGUUAUUUGUUUAAUAAAGUUAGUUAUUGACCUCUGAUGUCAUAACUCCAGGUCACAGGAAGUAGGUGUUUCCAGCCUGUGCAGUUCAUCUCAUGUGCUUUCAGCUUUCUCCAUGCUAAACAGGCCCUAUGCAGCAUUGUUGUUUUACCCUUUCAUCUUUAAAUACCCAUUAAACAAGUUAACAACUUA